rnacentral:rRNA from 1 species
UGCCAGCCGCCGCGGUAAUACGGAGGGAGCUAGCGUUUUUCGGAAUUACUGGGCGUAAAGAGCACGUAGGCGGUUGAUUAAGUUGAGAGUGAAAUCCCAGGGCUUAACCCUGGAACUGCUCUCAAAACUAGUCAACUAGAGUAUGAUAGGGGACAGUGGAAUUCCUAGUGUAGAGGUGAAAUUCUUAGAUAUUAGGAGGAACACCGGUGGCGAAGGCGACUGUCUGGAUCAUUACUGACGCUGAGGUGCGAAAGCGUGGGGAGCAAACAGGAUUAGAUA